rnacentral:rRNA from 1 species
UUGGAGGGCAAGUCUGGUGCCAGCAGCCGCGGUAAUUCCAGCUCCAAUAGCGUAUAUUAAAGUUGUUGCAGUUAAAAAGCUCGUAGUUGAAUUUCGGGAUUGACGUGAUGGUCAUGCCUUAAGGGGUAUGAACUGUUGCAGUUGAUUUCUCACCUUCUGGAGAAACUUGAUGUCCUUUAUUGGGUGUCUUGCGGAUCCAGGACCUUUACCUUGAAAAAAUUAGAGUGUUUAAAGCAGGCAUUUUUGCUCGAAUACAUUAGCAUGGAAUAAUAGAAUAGGACGGCACGGUUCUAUUUUGUUGGUUUCUAGGAUCACCGUAAUGAUUAAUAGGGAUAGUUGGGGGCAUUAGUAUUCAAUUGUCAGAGGUGAAAUUCUUGGAUUUAUUGAAGACUAACUACUGCGAAAGCAUUUGCCAAGGAUGUUUUCAUUAAUCAAGAACGAAAGUUAGGGGAUCGAAGACGAUCAGAUACCGUCGUAGUCUAAACCAUAAACCAUGCCGACUAGGAAUCAGACGAUGUUAAUUUUUUAAUGACUCGUUUGGCACCUUACGGGAAACCAAAGUGUUUGGGUUC